ACGAACGCUGGCGGCACGCUUAACACAUGCAAGUCGAACGAGAGAAGAGAAGCUUGCUUUUCUGAUCUAGUGGCGGACGGGUGAGUAACACGUGAGCAAUCUGCCUUUCAGAGGGGGAUACCGAUUGGAAACGAUCGUUAAUACCGCAUAACAUAAUUGAACCGCAUGAUUUGAUUAUCAAAGAUUUAUCGCUGAAAGAUGAGCUCGCGUCUGAUUAGCUAGUUGGUAAGGUAACGGCUUACCAAGGCGACGAUCAGUAGCCGGACUGAGAGGUUGAUCGGCCACAUUGGGACUGAGACACGGCCCAGACUCCUACGGGAGGCAGCAGUGGGGAAUAUUGCACAAUGGAGGAAACUCUGAUGCAGCGAUGCCGCGUGAGGGAAGAAGGUUUUAGGAUUGUAAACCUCUGUCUUCAGGGACGAAAAAAGACGGUACCUGAGGAGGAAGCUCCGGCUAACUACGUGCCAGCAGCCGCGGUAAUACGUAGGGAGCGAGCGUUGUCCGGAAUUACUGGGUGUAAAGGGAGCGUAGGCGGGAUCGCAAGUCAGAUGUGAAAACUAUGGGCUUAACCCAUAAACUGCAUUUGAAACUGUGGUUCUUGAGUGAAGGACAGGUACCCGGAAUUCCUAGUGUAGCGGUGAAAUGCGUAGAUAUUAGGAGGAACAUCAGUGGCGAAGGCGGCUUACUGGGCUUUAACUGACGCUGAGGCUCGAAAGCGUGGGGAGCAAACAGGAUUAGAUACCCUGGUAGUCCACGCCGUAAACGAUGAUUACUAGGUGUGGGGGGACUGACCCCUUCCGUGCCGCAGCAAACGCAAUAAGUAAUCCACCUGGGGAGUACGACCGCAAGGUUGAAACUCAAAGGAAUUGACGGGGGCCCGCACAAGCAGUGGAGUAUGUGGAUUAAUUCGAAGCAACGCGAAGAACCUUACCAGGUCUUGACAUCGUAUGCAUAGCUCAGAGAUGAGUGAAAUCUCUUCGGAGACAUAUAGACAGGUGGUGCAUGGUUGUCGUCAGCUCGUGUCGUGAGAUGUUGGGUUAAGUCCCGCAACGAGCGCAACCCUUACUGUUAGUUGCUACGCAAGAGCACUCUAGCAGGACUGCCGUUGACAAAACGGAGGAAGGUGGGGAUGACGUCAAAUCAUCAUGCCCCUUAUGACCUGGGCCUCACACGUACUACAAUGGCUGUCAACAGAGGGAAGCAAAGCCGCGAGGUGGAGCAAACCCCUAAAAGCAGUCUUAGUUCGGAUUGUAGGCUGCAACCCGCCUACAUGAAGUCGGAAUUGCUAGUAAUCGCAGAUCAGCAUGCUGCGGUGAAUACGUUCCCGGGCCUUGUACACACCGCCCGUCACGCCAUGGGAGUCGGUAACACCCGAAGCCUGUAGUCUAACCGCAAGGAGGACGCAGUCGAAGGUGGGAUUGAUGACUGGGGUG
rnacentral:rRNA from 1 species